UAAUACGUAGGUGGCAAGCGAUACUCGGAAUCACUAGGCGUAAAGCGCAGGUAGGAGGUUUAGUAAGUCUGUUGUGAAAGCUCCCGGCUUAACUGGGAGAGGUCAACGGAAACUGCUAGGCUAGAGUGCGGUAGAGGUAGCUGGAAUUCCCGGUGUAGCGGUGAAAUGCGUAGAUAUCGGGAGGAAUACCUAUGGCGAAAGCAGGCUACUGGACCGUCACUGACUCUGAUCUGCGAAAGCUAGGGGAGCAAACAGGAUUAGAUACCCUGGUAGUCCUAGCCCUAAACGAUGCUCAUUAGGUGUGGGAGGUAUCGACCCCUUCCGCGCCGUAGCUAACGCAUUAAAUGAGCCGCCUGGGGAGUACGGCCGCAAGGUUG
rnacentral:rRNA from 1 species